CCUACGGGUGGCAGCAGUGGGGGAUAUUGCACAAUGGGGGAAACCCUGAUGCAGCGACGCCGCGUGUGGGAAGACGGUCCUCUGGAUUGUAAACCACUGUCCCCAGGGACGAAGAUGACGGUACCUGGGGAGGAAGCUCCGGCUAACUACGUGCCAGCAGCCGCGGGAAUACGUAGGGAGCGAGCGUUGUCCGGAAUUACUGGGUGUAAAGGGAGCGUAGGCGGGACUGCAAGUUGGGUGUCAAAUCUACCGGCUCAACCGGUUGCCGCACUUGAAACUGCAGAUCUUGAGUGAAGUAGAGGCAGGCGGAAUGCCUAGUGUAGCGGUGAAAUGCAUAGAUAUUAGGAGGAACACCAGUGGCGAAGGCGGCCUGCUGGGCUUUUACUGACGCUGAGGCUCGAAAGUGUGGGGAGCGAACAGGAUUAGAUACCCGUGUAGUC
rnacentral:rRNA from 1 species